rnacentral:rRNA from 1 species
CAUAAUCUCUGAGGAGGAAAGCAGGGGAUCGCAAGACCUUGCACUUUUGGAGCGGCCGAUGUCUGAUUAGCUAGUUGGUGGGGUAAUGGCCUACCAAGGCUUCGAUCAGUAGCUGGUCUGAGAGGACGGCCAGCCACACUGGGACUGAGACACGGCCCAGACUCCUACGGGAGGCAGCAGUGGGGAAUUUUGGACAAUGGGCGCAAGCCUGAUCCAGCCAUGCCGCGUGAGUGAAGAAGGCCUUCGGGUUGUAAAGCUCUUUCAGCCGGGAAGAAAAGGUUGCGACUAAUAAUCGUAAUUCAU